AUGCUAGAGCACUUUUUUCAAUGGGCUCCCCAACGACGCAUUCGUAUGAAAUCCAUAUCAACAUAAGGAUGCCAUUUACUGCGCCUACCAUGGUGACCACUUGUAAGGGGGAAUCAGGGUUUGAUUCCGGAGAGGGAGCCUGAGAAAUGGCUACCACAUGCAAGGAAGGCA